rnacentral:rRNA from 1 species
UACGUAGGUGGCAAGCGUUGUCCGGAUUUACUGGGCGUAAAGAGCGCGCAGGCGGUCGUUCAAGUCGCGUGUGAAAGCCCCCGGCUCAACUGGGGAGGGUCACGCGAUACUGAUCGACUCGAAGGCAGGAGAGGGUAGUGGAAUUCCCGGUGUAGUGGUGAAAUGCGUAGAUAUCGGGAGGAACAUCAGUGGCGAAGGCGACUUCCUGGACCAAUACUGACGCUCAGGUGCGAAAGCGUGGGGAGCAAACAGG